GGGGCUGUCAAGGUUUCGACGUGUACGGUGAAGCCGUGGCUGCGUGCCGAGGUCCUCGGAUACCUCGUAAAACCUCCGGGAAACCAGUAACCGCGAACGAUAACUUCGCUCUGGCUGCGUAAGUAGAGACCCUAGCGGUUUCCUUACCUCCCGUCUUCCGGUCAGCCCCGCCUGAGGCGGGCCGGCGGGCGUCAUCAAAUUCUGGCUGGCCUGCGUUUGGCGCCGUGACGGCGCGGGCGAGACUUUCACGGCUGGUUCGCGAUGGGCCUCCCACUGGCCGAUGAGCGGACGAGGAGAACAGAACAGGGGGAUACGCACGUAGACGUCGCGAGGGAUCUGUAGGCGGACGCGGGUUCGAUUCCCGCCAGCUCCACUU
rnacentral:tmRNA from 1 species